AAGUCGUAACAAGGUUUCCGUAGGUGAACCUGCGGAAGGAUCAUUACCAAAAUUUCCACAAUUUCGUUGGUUAAAUAACCAAUGUUAUACACCAUUGCAAAACUGUUGCCAGGUCUUUGGCGGUUUGGUUUUAUUAUGAGAUGUUACUAAUAGUAUUAUUAGCGCAAUGGAAGGAGAAGGUUAUUCUUUUCUUUCCAAUUGCGUGAAAUUGUAUUAUCUUGGUACAUCCCUAUAAUGAGAAUGGUUUAUUCUCGACCCCGCCAGAGUUACCAAAAACUUUAUUCUACUACUUUGUGUUUCUAUUUUACUGUCGUACAAUUGCGUAUUUAUUUGAAAAAAUAAAAGACCAACUUUUGACAACGGAUCUCUUGGUUCUC
rnacentral:misc_RNA from 1 species